UACAUCAAUUUUAAACUCUAAAUUAUAGAAGAAAAUAUCAGUGAACUAAAUGAAUAUGAUUUCGGCAAAUAAAAUCUACCUUGGGAUCGACGGGCUUAGUGGAAAAUCUGUCACGCUUUACUCCAUUCUCAUCAAAAAGGUGUACAGUACUGAGAUGAAAGCAGGUACAUGACAUUCAUGUAUAUACGUUGGUUGCCUAGCGACAUAACUCCCACCGCAUUGA